rfam:Schistosoma mansoni strain Puerto Rico chromosome 1, complete genome
AUCCAGCCGAAGAGUUCAAAAUUUAGACGAAAUGUGCGUCCAGGAU